UACGAAGGGUGCAAGCGUUAAUCGGAAUUACUGGGCGUAAAGCGUGCGUAGGCGGUUUGUUAAGUCUGCUGUGAAAUCCCCGGGCUCAACCUGGGAAUGGCAGUGGAUACUGGCAAGCUAGAGUGUGUCAGAGGAUGGUGGAAUUCCCGGUGUAGCGGUGAAAUGCGUAGAGAUCGGGAGGAACAUCAGUGGCGAAGGCGGCCAUUUGGGACAACACUGACGCUGAGGCACGAAAGCGUGGGGAGCAAACAGG
rnacentral:rRNA from 1 species